rnacentral:rRNA from 1 species
UACAGAGAGUGCAAGCGUUAAUCGGAAUUACUGGGCGUAAAGCGCGCGUAGACGGUUGUAUAAGUUGGGUGUGAAAUCCCCGAACUCAACCUGGGAAUUGCACUCAAAACUGUACGGCUAGAGUGUGGGAAAGGAAGGUAGAAUUCCAAGUGUAACGGUGAAAUGCGUAGAUAUCUGGAAGAAUACCGAUGGCGAAGACAACCUUCUGACCUAACACUGACACUGAAAUGCGAAAGCAUGGGGAACAAACAGG